AGCUUUGCACAGUGGCAGUAUUGUAGCCAAUGAGGGCUAUUCGAGGUGCGAUUAUUGCUAAUUGAAAACACAUUAAAAGGAAC
rnacentral:snRNA from 1 species